GUGGCGGGCGCGAUGAUCGCCGGGGCGCUCGGGAGAGGCUUCUAGCCUGUUGCCUGUUCUGAAGGUCGUGCCUCGGAGGAAAGUCCGGACUCCAAAGGGUGCGGUGGUGGGUAACGCCCACCGUUCGGGGCGUUUACGUCCCGGAUAGGGAAAGUGCCACAGAAAGUAAACCGCCUCGACGACGGUGCGGAGCGGCUUGUCCGUUCCGUUUCGGAGCCGAGGUAAGGGUGAAACGGUGAGGUAAGAGCUCACCAGCAGGCCGGGUGACCGGUCUGGCUCGGCAAACCCCACCGGGAGCAAGACCAAAUAGGGGAGCAGCGGGGAUUGCAGCGCGGAACCAGGAAAUCGGGCGACCGGUUUCUCAGCCGCUCUCAACGCCCCGCACGGAUCGGCCCGGUCCGUUAUCGACUCCCGGGUAGGUCGCUUGAGGCGUCGGGAGACCGGCGUCCCAGAGAAAUGAUCAUCCGAGACCGGAUGAAACGGUUCGCCGUCUCAACCGUUCUUGACAGAAUCCGGCUUACGCAGCCCGCCACGAAU
rfam:Paludisphaera borealis strain PX4, complete genome.